UCCUCAAAUACCUGAAUAGCCUACCUCUGAGAGAGGGAUAACGCAUGGAAACGUGCACUAAUACCUCAUAAGACCACGGAUUUGCGGAUUUGUGGUUAAAAAUUGCCUCUGAUUUAAGCAUUUGCUCGGAGAGGGGUUCAGGUCCAAUUAGCUUGUUGGUAGGGUAAUGGCCUACCAAGGCGACGAUUGGUAGCCGGGCUGAGAGGUUGUUCGGCCACACUGGGACUGAGACACUGCCCAGACUCCUUCGGGAGGCUGCAGUCGAGAAUCUUCCGCAAUGCGCGCAAGCGUGACGGAGCGACGCCGCGUGGAUGAUUGAAGGCCCUUGGGUUGUAAAAUCCACUCGCGUAGGAAGAAACGAUAGAGGUUAAUAGCCUACUAUCGAGACGUUACUACGGUCGAAGCGCCGGCUAAACACGUGCCAGCAGCCGCGGUAAUACGUGUGGCGCAAGCGUUGUUCGGAAUCAUUGGGCAUAAAGAGCACGUAGGCGGCGUUGUGGGUCGGUUGUGAAAGCCCUCGGCUUAACCGAGGAAUUGCGACCGAAACUACAAUGCUUGAGUAUGGAAGGGGAGAGUGGAAUUCCUGGUGGAACGGUGAAAUGUGUAGAUAUCAGGAAGAACACCGGUGGCGAAGGCGACUCUCUGGUCCAUUGCUGACGCUGAGUGUGCGAAAGCUAGGGGAGCAAACAGGAUUAGAUACCCUGGUAGUCCUAGCUGUAAACGAUGGGCACUAGGUAGUGGGAGUUAUGACGCUCUCGCUGCUGCAGCAAAUGUAUUAAGUGCCCCGCCUGGGGAGUAUGCUCGCAAGGGUGAAACUCAAAGGAAUUGACGGGGGCUCACACAAGCGGUGGAGCAUGUUGUUUAAUUCGAGUAUACGCGAAGAACCUUACCUGGGUUAGAAAUGUAGGGAUUAACCCUGUGAAAGCAGGGGGAUUACUCUUCGGAGUGUAACCUAAUUCAGGUGCUGCAUGGCUGUCGUCAGCUCGUGUCGUGAGAUGUCGGGUUAAGUCCCAUAACGAGCGAAACCCCUGUCCUUAGUUGCCAGCGAGUAAUGUCUGGGACUCUAGGGAGACUGCCGGUGUUAAACCGUGAGGAAGGUGGGGACGACGUCAAGUCGUCAUGGCCUUUAUAUCCAGGGCUACAAACGUGCUACAAUGGCCGGUACAAAGGGGCGCGAAACCGCGAGGUGAAGCAAAUCUCAAAAAAACCGGCCCCAGUUCAGAUUAGAGGCUGCAAUUCGCCUCUAUGAAGUUGGAAUCGCUAGUAACCGCGUAUCAGCUAUGACGCGGUGAAUAUGUUCCUGAGCCUUGUACACACCGCCCGUCAAGCCAUCUAAGCAGGGCGCACUCGAAAUCACUGACCAAACCCGCAAGGGGUGGAGGUGCUGAAGGUGAGCCUUGUGAGGAGGACUAAGUCGUAACAAGGUA
rnacentral:rRNA from 1 species